rnacentral:lncRNA from 1 species
CAAUGGAUUCCUUCUCGGAUCUUGAUGACUUUAACCAGGAGUGCUAGCUAUGGUCAGCCGUUGUAAUGGUUCAUAUAGGAAUGACCUUCAUAGGCUCAAAUAUGUGAAUGCUUGGUCAUUAGGGCAUGGCGCUCAUUGAGGGAAUUAGGAGGUAUGGCCAUGUUGGAGAGGGUGUGGCGCCAAUGGAGGAAGUGUGUCAAUGGAGGUGGAUUUGGGGUUUCAAAUGCUCUCUCUCUUCCUGCAGAUCUAGCCAUAGAACCCUCAGCUACUUCUCCAGUGCCACGCCUGCCUGCAUGCCGUCAUGCUUCCCGUCAUGAUGACAAUGGACUAAACCUCUGAACUGUAAACCAGCUGUUGUGGGUCACUUUUGCUACCCCGCCUAAGCUCCGGGAAUGGGCUGUGCUACCAGCCCCCACCCAGAUUCCCUCAAAUCCACAGAUUAAAAAAAACACAGACACACAUAUUGCUCAAUCUCAACUUGCCUUUUUGGUACAAUUGCUAGGCACUACUCAUCUCCCACCUGAAGAAGCAUGCCUUAUCAAUAUUCUUAGCUCCAUAGCUCUCCACCUGCCCUAACUUUUAGUUGCUCAGUUACAUCUAGUUCCUACUAAACACGUCCAACCUCCUGCCUGUAGGACCAGCCACAGGCCUCUGCUCUGCCCAAGAUCUCACAUGGCUGGUCACCUUUUCUCCCUCCAACGCCUGGCAAACUCUUUCUCUUUCUCCUGUGUCUGUCUCCUGCCCUUGGGGACCAGAAUUCCUGCCUAUUCCUUCUGCCCAGCAAUUGGCCCAUGUCUUCUUUACUGACAGACCAAGAACCAAUUGGGGAACAGGACCUUAGCAUCGGCACCACCCCUACAGCCCACCUCAAUUAAAUGCAUCUCAGCUGGUUGGUGGUGGCACACACAUUUAAUCCCAGUCCUUGGUGAUUAGAUUCACCCAGACCAGGUGAAUCUCUGAGUUCAAGGC